rnacentral:rRNA from 1 species
UGAAGGAGGGACGCAGUAGGCUAACUAAAGCGUGCGACUGGAAGUGCACGUCUAAGCAGUGAGGUGUGAAUUGAGUUAAAUGCUUAAUUCUGUAACAUUGAGCUGUGAUGGGGAGCGAAGUUUAGUAGCGAAGUUAGUGACGUCACACUGCCAAGAAAAGCUUCUAGCGUUAAUCAUACUCUACCCGUACCGCAAACCGACACAGGUAGUCGAGGCGAGUAGCCUCAGGUGAGCGAGAGAACUCUCGUUAAGGAACUCGGCAAAAUGACCCCGUAACUUCGGGAGAAGGGGUGCUGGCUUUGAGUCAGCCGCAGUGAAUAGGCCCAAGCAACUGUUUAUCAAAAACACAGCUCUCUGCUAAAUCGUAAGAUGAUGUAUAGGGGGUGACGCCUGCCCGGUGCUGGAAGGUUAAGAGGAAUGCUUAGCGUAAGCGAAGGUAUGAAUUGAAGCCCCAGUAAACGGCGGCCGUAACAAUAACGGUCCUAAGGUAGCGAAAUUCCUUGUCGGGUAAGUUCCGACCCGCACGAAAGGCGUAAUGAUUUGGGCACUGUCUCAACGAGAGACUCGGUGAAAUUUUAGUACCUGUGAAGAUGCAGGUUACCCGCGACAGGACGGAAAGACCCCAUGGAGCUUUACUGCAGUUUGAUAUUGAGUGUCUGUGCCACAUGUACAGGAUAGGUAGGAGCCAUAGAGAUCGGGACGCCAGUUUCGAUGGAGGCGUUGUUGGGAUACUACCCUUGUGUUAUGGCCACUCUAACCCGGUAGGUUUAUCAUCUACGGAGACAGUGUCUGACGGGCAGUUUGACUGGGGCGGUCGCCUCCUAAAAGGUAACGGAGGCACCCAAAGGUUCCCUCAGAAUGGUUGGAAAUCAUUCGUAGAGUGUAAAGGUAUAAGGGAGCUUGACUGCGAGAGCUACAACUCGAGCAGGGACGAAAGUCGGGCUUAGUGAUCCGGUGGUUCCGUAUGGAAGGGCCAUCGCUCAACGGAUAAAAGCUACCCUGGGGAUAACAGGCUUAUCUCCCCCAAGAGUUCACAUCGACGGGGAGGUUUGGCACCUCGAUGUCGGCUCGUCGCAUCCUGGGGCUGUAGUCGGUCCCAAGGGUUGGGCUGUUCGCCCAUUAAAGCGGCACGCGAGCUGGGUUCAGAACGUCGUGAGACAGUUCGGUCCCUAUCCGUCGCGGGCGUAGGAAAUUUGAGAGGAUCUGCUCCUAGUACGAGAGGACCAGAGUGGACUUACCGCUGGUGUACCAGUUGUCUCGCCAGAGGCAUCGCUGGGUAGCUAUGUAGGGAAGGGAUAAACGCUGAAAGCAUCUAAGUGUGAAACCCACCUCAAGAUGAGAUUUCCCAUAACUAUAUGUUAGUAAGAGCCCUGAGAGAAGAUCAGGUAGAUAGGUUAGGAGUGGAAGUUGUGUGAGCAAUGGAGCGGACUAAUACUAAUAGCUCGAGGACUUAUCCG